rnacentral:rRNA from 1 species
GAUGAACGCUGACAGAAUGCUUAACACAUGCAAGUCGAUGGGGAAGUGGUGCUUGCACCAUGGUAACCAUGGCGGACGGGUGAGUAACGCGUAAGGAACUACCUGCGGGGCCGGGAUUAACGCCGGGAAAUGGUGACAAGACCGGAUAAGGGCAAUAAGCUGCCUAGCUUAGUGAUGGAAGGAGACGCCUGCGGAGAGCCUUGCGUCCUAUUAGCUAGUUGGAGGGGUAACGGCCCACCAAGGCGAAGAUAGGUAGCCGGCCUGAGAGGGUGGACGGCCACAAGGGGACUGAGAUACGGCCCUUACUCCUACGGGAGGCAGCAGUGGGGAAUAUUGGACAAUGGGGGCAACCCUGAUCCAGCAAUUCUGUGUGCACGAAGACGGUUUUCGGAUUGUAAAGUGCUUUCAGCAGGGAAGAAGGAAGUGACGGUACCUGCAGAAGAAGCGACGGCUAAAUACGUG